rnacentral:tRNA from 1 species
GGAGGCACGCAUUGGUGGGCUCAUCGGUCUUGAAAACCGUGAUGGCGUAGUGAUAUGCCGUGGGGGUUCGAUUCCCUCUGUCUCCGC